CACGUAGGGGGCAAGCGUUGUCCGGAUUUAUUGGGCGUAAAGAGCUCGUAGGCGGUUCGGUAAGUUGGGUGUGAAACCUCCAGGCUCAACCUGGAGACGCCACCCGAUACUGCUGUGACUAGAGUCCGGUAGGGGAGCGUGGAAUUCCUGGUGUAGCGGUGAAAUGCGCAGAUAUCAGGAGGAACACCAGCGGCGAAAGGCGGCGCUCUGGGCCGGAACUGACGCUGAGGGGCGAAAGCGUGGGUAGCAAACAGGG
rnacentral:rRNA from 1 species